rnacentral:rRNA from 1 species
CAGUAGGGAAUCUUCCACAAUGGACGAAAGUCUGAUGGAGCAACGCCGCGUGAGUGAAGAAGGGUUUCGGCUCGUAAAACUCUGUUGUUAAAGAAGAACAUAUCUGAGAGUAACUGUUCAGGUAUUGACGGUAUUUAACCAGAAAGCCACGGCUAACUACGUGCCAG